AUCAAUUUAGCACACUUCCACUGAAGAGAUGUGAAGUGUACAACUUACAAAACCAAUGUGCAAAAAUCUCUAGCAUUCCUUUAUACCAACAACAGGCAAGCAGAGAGCCAAACCAUAAAUGAAGUCCCAUUCACAAUUGACACAAAAAGAAUAAAAUACCUAGGAAUACAGAUAACAAGGGACGUGAAAGACCUCCUUAAGGAGAACUACA
rnacentral:lncRNA from 1 species